rnacentral:rRNA from 1 species
UAGGGAAUCUUCGGCAAUGGACGAAAGUCUGACCGAGCAACGCCGCGCGAGUGAAGAAGGUUUUCGGAUCGUAAAACUCUGUUGUUAGAGAAGAACAAGGACGUUAGUAACUGAACGUCCCCUGACGGUAUCUAACCAGAAAGCCACGGCUAACUACGUGCCAGCAGCCGCGGUAAUACGUAGGUGGCAAGCGCUGUCUGGAUUUAUUGGGCGUAAAGCGAGCGCAGGCGGUUUCUUAAGUCUGAUGUGAAAGCUCCCGGCUCAACCGGGAAGGGUCAUUGGAAACUGGGAGACUUGAGUGCAGAAGGGGAGAGUGGAAUUCCAUGUGUGGCGAUAAAAUGCGUAGAUGUGUGGGAGAACACCAGUGGCGGAGGCGGCUCUCUAGUCUAUAACUGGCGCUGAGGCUAGAAAGCGUGGGGAGCAAACAGG